rnacentral:rRNA from 1 species
AUGAACGCUGGCGGCGUGCCUAAUACAUGCAAGUCGAGCGAACGGACGAGAAGCUUGCUUCUCUGAUGUUAGCGGCGGACGGGUGAGUAACACGUGGAUAACCUACCUAUAAGACUGGGCUAACUUCGGGAAACCGGAGCUAAUACCGGAUAAUAUUUUGAACCGCAUGGUUCAAAAGUGAAAGACGGUCUUGCUGUCACUUAUAGAUGGAUCCGCGCUGCAUUAGCUAGUUGGUAAGGUAACGGCUUACCAAGGCAACGAUGCAUAGCCGACCUGAGAGGGUGAUCGGCCACACUGGAACUGAGACACGGUCCAGACUCCUACGGGAGGCAGCAGUAGGGAAUCUUCCGCAAUGGGCGAAAGCCUGACGGAGCAACGCCGCGUGAGUGAUGAAGGUCUUCGGAUCGUAAAACUCUGUUAUUAGGGAAGAACAUAUGUGUAAGUAACUGUGCACAUCUUGACGGUACCUAAUCAGAAAGCCACGGCUAACUACGUG